rnacentral:rRNA from 1 species
GAUGAACGCUGGCGGCGUGCCUAAUACAUGCAAGUCGAGCGAACGGACGAGGAGCUUGCUUCUCUGAUGUUAGCGGCGGACGGGUGAGUAACACGUGGAUAACCUACCUAUAAGACUGGGAUAACUUCGGGAAACCGGAGCUAAUACCGGAUAAUAUUUUGAACCGCAUGGUUCAAAGGUGAAAGACGGUCUUGCUGUCACUUAUAGAUGGAUCCGCGCUGCAUUAGCUAGUUGGUAAGGUAGCGGCUUACCAAGGCAACGAUGCAUAGCCGACCUGAGAGGGUGAUCGGCCACACUGGAACUGAGACACGGUCCAGACUCCUACGGGAGGCAGCAGUAGGGAAUCUUCCGCAAUGGGCGAAAGCCUGACGGAGCAACGCCGCGUGAGUGAUGAGGGUCUUCGGAUCGUAAAACUCUGUUAUUAGGGAAGAACAUAUGUGUAAGUAACUGUGCAUAUCUUGACGGUACCUAAUCAGAAAGCCACGGCUAACUACGUGCCAGCAGCCGCGGUAAUACGUAGGUGGCAAGCGUUAUCCGGAAUUAUUGGGCGUAAAGCGCGCGUAGGCGGUUUUUUAAGUCUGAUGUGAAAGCCCACGGCUCAACCGUGGAGGGUCAUUGGAAACUGGAAAACUUGAGUGCAGAAGAGGAAAGUGGAAUUCCAUGUGUAGCGGUGAAAUGCGCAGAGAUAUGGAGGAACACCAGUGGCGAAGGCGACUUUCUGGUCUGUAACUGACGCUGAUGUGCGAAAGCGUGGGGAUCAAACAGGAUUAGAUACCCUGGUAGUCCACGCCGUAAACGAUGAGUGCUAAGUGUUAGGGGGUUUCCGCCCCUUAGUGCUGCAGCUAACGCAUUAAGCACUCCGCCUGGGGAGUACGACCGCAAGGUUGAAACUCAAAGGAAUUGACGGGGACCCGCACAAGCGGUGGAGCAUGUGGUUUAAUUCGAAGCAACGCGAAGAACCUUACCAAAUCUUGACAUCCUUUGACCGCUCUAGAGAUAGAGUUUUCCCCUUCGGGGGACAAAGUGACAGGUGGUGCAUGGUUGUCGUCAGCUCGUGUCGUGAGAUGUUGGGUUAAGUCCCGCAACGAGCGCAACCCUUAAGCUUAGUUGCCAUCAUUAAGUUGGGCACUCUAAGUUGACUGCCGGUGACAAACCGGAGGAAGGUGGGGAUGACGUCAAAUCAUCAUGCCCCUUAUGAUUUGGGCUACACACGUGCUACAAUGGACAAUACAAAGGGCAGCGAAACCGUGAGGUCAAGCAAAUCCCAUAAAGUUGUUCUCAGUUCGGAUUGUAGUCUGCAACUCGACUACAUGAAGCUGGAAUCGCUAGUAAUCGUAGAUCAGCAUGCUACGGUGAAUACGUUCCCGGGUC